GUGGAAACCGUUUCGUGAAAUUCUGAUGAUUGUGCAGAUCAAAGAACAACAUAAAUUGAGGUCAGGGAGCCAUGUGGAAGAUGAAGCAGAGAGAAUGUAAGAUCCAGAAGUGAUGGACACCCGGAACCAGGAGAACAAGAUCUUCAGGAGAAUAGCAUGAGCAAAGUGCACAUGAACUCACAGAGACCGGAGCAUCCUGUGCAGGGCCU
rnacentral:lncRNA from 1 species